rnacentral:misc_RNA from 1 species
GAUGAAGAACGCAGCGAAAUGCGAUAAGUAAUGUGAAUUGCAGAAUUCAGUGAAUCAUCGAAUCUUUGAACGCACAUUGCGCCCUCUGGUAUUCCGGGGGGCAUGCCUGUUCGAGCGUCAUUAUAACCACUCAAGCUCUCGCUUGGUAUUGGGGUUCGCGGUUCCGCGGCCCCUAAAAUCAGUGGCGGUGCCUGUCGGCUCUACGCGUAGUAAUACUCCUCGCGAUUGAGUCCGGUAGGUCUACUUGCCAGCAACCCCCAAUUUUUACAGGUUGACCUCGGAUCAGGUAGGGAUACCCGCUGAACUUAAGAAUAUCAAUAAGCGGAGGA